GUGGGGAAUAUUGCACAAUGGAGGAAACUCUGAUGCAGCGACGCCGCGUGAGUGAAGAAGUAUUUCGGUAUGUAAAGCUCUAUCAGCAGGGAAGAAGACGACGGUACCUGACUAAGAAGCCCCGGCUAACUACGUGCCAGCAGCCGCGGUAAUACGUAGGGGGCAAGCGUUAUCCGGAUUUACUGGGUGUAAAGGGAGCGUAGACGGUUCAGCAAGUCUGAAGUGAAAGGCGGGGGCUCAACCCCCGGACUGCUUUGGAAACUGUCGGACUAGAGUACCGGAGGGGUAAGCGGAAUUCCUGGUGUAGCGGUGAAAUGCGUAGAUAUCAGGAGGAACACCGGUGGCGAAGGCGGCUUACUGGACGGCAACUGACGUUGAGGCUCGAAAGCGUGGGGAGCAAACAGGA
rnacentral:rRNA from 1 species